UACGUAGGGACCAAGCGUUGUUCGGAAUUACUGGGCGUAAAGGGCGCGUAGGCGGCCUGUUAAGUCGAACGUGAAAUCCCCGGGCUCAACCCGGGAACUGCGUCCGAAACUGGCAGGCUCGAAUUCGGGAGAGGGAUGCGGAAUUCCAGGUGUAGCGGUGAAAUGCGUAGAUAUCUGGAGGAACAUCGGUGGCGAAGGCGGCAGUCCUGGACCGAGUAGUUGACGUCGUGAGGCGCGAAAGCCAGGGGAGCAAAGCGGG
rnacentral:rRNA from 1 species